UUUUUUUUUUUUUUUUUUUUUUGGGUCUUUGGUGUUUAGCUUGUAGUAAUUGUUAUGAUUUCGCUGACGAGUGGUAUCAAUGGAAGCUAAUUUGGGUUAUGCUUCUUUUUUUCUUUUUCUGCUCUGAAAUCGUUUGCUUGAUUUGGCAUCCUUUCUUUGCUUACUAAUAACGUGUGAUCUUCAAUGAAUCUGUUGAAUGAAUGUUUACAUUUCAUCAUUUACCUUUUGGUGACAGAGGAAAAAUAACGUAUACUUGAAAUUUGAAAUUAAAACCAUAUGCGAUAUUGCAGGAUGAUUUUGUAUAAACUACAGUUUCUGACCAUGCUCUCUCCAGUUUACCUUUGUGAAAGGAUUAUCACUUCACUUGGUUGGUCUUUUGCUGUCGGCUGUCAAUGUUCUAUACCUUAUUGAUUUUGCUUAAGCAUUCAAUCAGAAGAAGUAUGUAUGCAGAGCUAAAACUUCUGUCCAGUUUGAAAGUUUUCAGGAUAUAUAAAGGACCGACCUACUUUGAUUUUAGUCAGUCAGAAGAUGCAAGAAAUAUCAUUUGGCUGAGAAACAACAUUGCACAUUCGUAUUUUCUCUACGAUCAUUUGGUUGUUUGAUGAUCUUUCGUAUCUUCCCAUGAUGUGAAAUUUUGAUUGUCUAAUCUGUUGAUUUCUGAUAAAUGUACUUCAUUGCGUUGUAUCUUUUAGUCAGUUCAUUGGUAUCUUGAAGAUACAUAUAUAUAUGGUUCUCUCCUUGUCUGUCUUAGGAUAGAACAUCGCUGAAAUCAAAAUGUAUCGAGUUGCACAAGCAUCGGAGUUUCUAGUGAUCACCGGAAUUUUUGUCAAUGACAUAAAGAUUACAAAGAAAGCGAUUAUCUGGCCAUUCCAGAAAUGUAGCGUCAUUGAUGUUACCCCUGUAAACUACACCUUCAAAGUCAAUGCAAUGAGUGCCGAGAAGCUAGCCUUCUUUCUCCCUGCUGUUUUCACCAUAGGUCCAAAAGUUGAGGAUUAUGAGAGCCUCGUUAAGUAUGCCAAGCUUCUUUCUCAUCAGCAGCGCGAUUCCCAUGAUGUCAAGGAACUUGUUAAAGGUGUCAUUGAGGGAGAAACUCGUGUUCUUGCGGCUUCGAUGACUAUGGAAGAAAUCUUUCGAGGCACCAAAGAUUUCAAGCGGGAGGUGUUUGAGAAGGUUCAGUUGGAACUGAACCAGUUUGGACUUCUGAUUUAUGACAGGUUGUCGAAGCCUGUGCAAUAAUAAAACCUGCUCAAACUAAAAUUAAUUUCUGUAAAUAGUGAUAAGCAGGGUCGAAUCCACAGGAACUGGGAGUAAUUGUUUCUUUUCAAGUUCACAGUGACAAGGGGGGUGUUUUUGUGCAGAAGGUGACAAUCCAAGAAGUCCAACUAAAAUCUAAAAAACUACUAAAAACUAAAUAAAAAAAUUACUAAAAUCAAAUGAAUGAUAAUUAAGGAUCUAGCCAAGAAAUAACUUCAGCAAUGGUGCACCUAAUUGAUCAUCGAUAAGCAAAGGCAAUUCCAAUUAUUUACUAAUAAAUAGGUUAUAACUACCAAACAAGCGAUGACAGUCAACCCCUCCUUACUGUGUCGAUGAUUAAGGUACGCCCGUUAAUCACUGCUCUAAUUGAGAAAUAAUCCUAGGUACGCCCAUAGAAUUUAAUUCCCCAAUUGCCUUACGUAUUAGAGGAGCCCUAUUCUAAUCAAAUAACACACUACCAGGGUUAUUUUAGAUUAGCCCGCGUAUUCCCCUGACACAAACCUAAUCAUGCCAGUUGCCACUAUUUUAGAGCAAUUAAACAAUUACGGAUUUAAUGCCCUAAUUGACAAUAGAUUAUCCAAUCAACUAAUUAUCUGGAUCCAAGACAAUCAAUUAAUUAAAUAACCAUAAGCAUAGCAACCAAGAAAUAUGCAAAUACCAAUAAAUAAAAGAAACAGAUAAAAUUAAAUCGAUCUCACAAUUUUAGACGACCCAAAGCAUCCGUUGUUCCUUGACUAGAGUGAGGAAAUUAGUUCAUAAUUGAUGAACAAAAUCCACACAAAAUUAAAACAAGAGUCGCGGCCAUCGUCUCCGAGAGUUAAGAAAAUUCAAUUCGUCCCAAUCGAUAAGAAAAGCAAACUACCAGAAGUGAUAGCUAAUUCCUAAUUCUCCCUGACAUGCGCAGGGUGCAAAGCUACUAAAGGACAAAAAAUACUGAAAAGAAAAGUCAAAGAGGAACAAAAAAGAUAGUGCUUGUUCUCUGCAAACUCUAUAUUUCCUAAGUGCUUAUUCCUACUGUGCGGCGUCCGCCGCACGAGAGGAAGCCGAAGACCUUCAGGUUUGCUUUCUUUUCCCCUUUUUCUAGUUGCUGUCUUCGGUCAAAAUUACCAAUAAGGUCUUGCAUUUUCUUAUUCCAAGAAUGCCCCUUGAUUGCCUACUAUUUGAACUCUUUCCCGAUAACUAUCAAAUUGGCCUGCUAUUUGAACUCUUUCCCGAUGACUAUCAAAUUGGCCUUGAUUGUGACAUUUUUAUUCUACUCCCUGAAAUAAAUGUAAAAUACAAAAAAUGAGUAGAAUCUAAUAAUUAAUUCACAUUGGUUUAAGUAAUAGGGGAAAUUAAUUAUAAAAUAAAUGAUAAAAUUGCAACCUAUCAAUUUCCCCCACACCUAAACCAUGCUUGUCCUCAAGCAUAAGAAAAGUAAACAAGCACCAAUAUUUGAUAGUGGCUAUUGCUCUAUCCAACAAAUUGCCAAGAUACCAAGAAGAAAAAUAAUAAUCAAGCAUCAAUGGUCAAGUCCAAGAAACAUCACCUCGGUUAGCUUCUAAACCACAAACUCCUCUAAUUUCAUGUUAACUAAUCUAAGAAAAAGGAAUAACGCAUAACAUUUAUCAGCAAAUGGUCCAACUAUUAACCAAAAUCUCAACAUUAAAUCCAUAAUUCGGCAAGCUGAUUUUUAUUACACACUAACACAACCUUCACUUUUUUUUCACAUUUUUUUCUACUUUUCUCUUUUUUUUUUUUUGAAUAGUAACAAAAGGCUUAGUCGCUAGCCAUUAGAGUCUUUUGACGCGAACUCCAACAUUGGCCAGAUGAAGGAGCCCGGUUACUCAGCUUCUAUCGCCACGUGACCACGUACUCAUAGGAAUUACUACCUUUUGACGCGAGAAUCAACACUUUUAGGUGCAGAUCCCCGGUUACUCAGUAGUAACUAAUAGCGGAGUACAGUCAAGUUUAUUCAUAGCUAAAAAUCACGAAAACUCAAUAUAACACAAGAACCAAAAGAAAACUUGCAUCAGCUAGCCUCAUUUUCAAACAUGGAGAACUAAAGUUAAUAACCGGACCAAUUCACUAAAAAUGCCAAUAAUCAUUCCCUAUGCCUAUGAAAGUUAACCAAAAAUUAUAAGAGUAAAACAAUUAUUGAUAUUCACCAAAGAGAUGUUCUUGCAUUCAACCACAUUAACUUGAUACCCUUUUAUUAUUAAAAUUGGCAAUAGUAGAAACAGAGACAAUAAUCCAACAUCAAACCUUGGCAUGCACUUACGAGCCAAUCACUAAAAAGAAGAAAAAAAAAAUGAACAUGAGGUGGACAAAUAACAAACUAAAAAUUAAGAACUAGUAUAGCUGUCCCCCCCACACCUAGAUCCUACAUUGUCCUCAAUGGAGGGAUUAAAACAAUUAAAACGAAGAGAGCAACGAAACUUCCCUCACGAGUGGCGAAAGGGUAGGCGGGAAUGGUGCACGGAAACUGAUGUGAUAGAAGUACGCGGCCAAGGUCUGAGAUAUCUCAACUCAAUUCAACCAGCAAAUGCAAAACUCUGUCCACCCAAAAUCUCAACAAAGCCUCCAAGUAGACAGUUAAUUUCUCAACUCAAAAGCAGCAAUUCCAGUAAUAGCAGUAUAGAAGUUGGAGAAUAACCACACAAUCACAAUCAGGUAGCCAACUAAUUGAAAAUAAUAAAUGCUAAUCAAAAUACUCCCAACCAGUACCACUGGUGCAAAACAUAGUCCAAAAUCAAUGAAAUUGCUAUAGCAGAGUAGAGCAGUAGUAAAGCAAUAGCCCCAAGUGUUAAUCUAAUCACAAGAAAGAUUCUAAACCUCUAAAGAAGAGCAACAGGCGACUGGAAUUCCAAUGAAUAGAGCAAGUAGAGGAACCGUCAGUGGGAACCCAGUCCACCGAAGUCAAUAAACAAACCCAGGAAACAAAUAAGUCCUCAAAUGAGUCAACAAAUUUCACAAAUGAUCAGACCAAAAUCACAGACACUGUUCCUCCAAAUCAGCAAUAUAAACCAACAUCCAGAAUGUCCUCAAAAACUCGAUUAAAAACUACUAAUGCCAACAAGGAAUGCAGUUGCCGAAUUAAAUCAACCAAAACUUCAACAAGCACAACACUGGCCGAGAUUCUUCCCAAAAUAUCACAGACAAUUGUUAAAAUUCCAGCCCACCCAAGAACUUCAACAAUUGCACCCAAAAGCUCAACAAUUGCCCCUAGCAGUCAACAAGUCAACAAGUCAGGCAACAGUAGCGCAGUGAUUCGGCAAUAACGACUCAAUAUAUACCCUCAACUGGCAAUCAGGCAUCUACCCACAAAAGCAAGUGAAAUUAUCUCAACGACCUAAUGGUUCACCACACAGAAUUCACUUCCACCCAACGAAAUAGUUGAAGUCACUAAGAUGAACACGUUAGUUAACCGUCACAGAAAAUUCUAACAAGCAAACCAGCUCCUAACAGGGCAAAUUAAGCAGCACAAGCUCCUGAUUCAAUAGGCAAUAUUAGAAAUAACUCAACCAGAAUCCCAAAAGAAACCUCAACGAACCUAGUAGUUGAAAGCAAUGGUCAGAAUAUUUCCCAGCAAUUUAAUUAGAUGCACUGAACUGGAAUAAGCAAUGUAAAUGGUAUAGUAGCCUCCCAAUUAAACAAACAAGUGCAGUAUCUCAGCUCACCCAAAAUCCCAACAAAUGGCUCCAGUUGGCCAAUUAAUUGCACCAUUUCACUCAAUUCAAAAGGAGCAAUAAAUUCAAGUGAGAAUAUUCCAACCAAUGCCCCCCCUUCUUUUUUUCUUUUUGAUGAAAGACUGAAUGCACACCUCAAUCAACCGAAAUCGUAGUGAAAGUUUCAAAAGUCAACAAAUCAAGCAAUAACAAUCCAGAUUGGACAGUGACAAAGGACUCCAAGCUUUCAGCUCCCAAUUAAUCAGCCAAUAAGAGAGGAAGAAUUCAACAGCUAAAUGAUGUCCAACAAUGGCAAACGAGGAAGCACCACGCAAUAUUAGAAAGUGGAGAAUAAAGGCCAAAUACCUCCGCCAGAGAGAGAGACACACACAAGCGGCCUGCGGUGGGGUUCGAAGACAGGUGGGCAGCGACGCACGGAGCUUGGGCUCCGCGAGCUGAUGGUGGCGGCGGCAGGUCACGCGGCGGCUGGUGGUCGGCGUACAGGAGCGGGGAGAGCAACGAGGGAGGCGCGCUCCUCGCUGGUUGAAGCGGCAGUGGCGAAACGAAUGGCGGACGCGGACUGGUUUUCUGGCAGGUGGCGAUGGCGAGAGGCGCGCAGAGCAGCAGCGGCGCGCGACUCCAGCAACGAUGGCGGCGGCUUGGGCUGGUCGAGCGUGCGGCGGUAGUGGUGGUAAAUGGAUUCGGCUGAGGCGUGCGCAGAGAGCAGGGGAGCAGCAGGGGAGAAAGAAAGAAAAGAGAAAGAAAGAAAGAAAAGAAAGAAAAGAAGAAAAAAAGAAAAAGAGAGAAAUUGCAUUUUUAUUUUUUAUUUUAUUUUUUUUUGAGUUCGACUUUUUAAAAAAAAGUUUUUCUCUUUUUUUUCUUGUUGUUUUUUUUUUCUUUUUGACAAUUGAAAAUUGGAAACUAAAGCUACGGUGAUAAGAAAUGGUUACUUCAUUUUUUUUUAUUUUCUUUUCUUUUAUUUUUAUUUUUUCCUUUUUUUUUUUUUUUGAAUCCCUACCUUUCCCGCGAACGUGACGCGGGCACGUCAAGAGAGCAGGAGAGCUCCCAGAAGUUUCAGAAUUUUCUGAUCGUGAGCGUCCUGCACAUCACCACGCAGGCACGUCAUGAGGACAAGAGAGCUCCCAGAAGUUUCAGAAUUUUCUGAUCGUGAGCUUCCUGAACAUCACCACGCGGGCGCGUCAUGAGGGCAAGAGAGCUCCCAGAAGUUUCAGAAUUUUCUGAUCGUAAGCUUCCUGCACAUCACCACGCGGGCGCGUCAUGACUGAAGGGCACCUAUAAAUCAGCAAAAACGAAAACUGAAACCCAAAAUCAGUCGAAUUCAAGGAAAAACAUAUUUAAACUAACAAAUAAAAUCAAACAUAAACUAAAAGAAAUUGGGUUGCCUCCCAAUGAGCGCCUUUCUUUAAUGUCUUUGGCUAGACAUUAUCAUGUUUUAUUCAUGGAGGAUAAAAUCGUGUGGUUCGUCUUAAUGAUUCAUCCUCUAUAUAGUCCUGAUAACCCUCAUAAAUAAAAUAAUCCUUGAGCAUACGAGCUACGGGCUUCCAUGGACUAGUAAAUGGCGCCAAACAAGUCAACGAUAAGUUGAAUUCUCCGUUCACUCCUCCCUCGCUUGCAGUUAUUGGUUCAAGAUAUCUUGCCUUCGCCACUCUUAAUUUAUUCCUGUCAUGAAAUUCAAAAUUAUCUGGUAUAAUACAGUCAAUUUCAUUAACAGGAAUUGAGAAGUAAGAGUCAGGAGAAUAUUGAUGAAGGAGUGGAGGAGAUGUCACCGCAUUUGGAGAUUGUUCACUGGAUUCUUUCACGUGAAUGGGUUGCGAUUGGGGUUCCAUUUCUUCCUUUUCGGCUUCUUUUUCAACUGCAUCUGUAGAUUUUUCAUUUUGACACUCUUGCGUCUCCUCAUCACUAGUCAAGCAAGUUGCACUCUCAUUUUCUUCUAGAUCAACAAUGGUUUUCAAGGGCAAUUCUUCCAUUUGAGAAGCCCAUCGAUUUAUUCUGGAUGUCAAUUGACAUAGUUGAUCUGCCAGAUAACUCAUUGCAUCCUUCGUCAUCUCAUCCCUCAUUUGUGUCUCCUGUUGGAAUUGGUAUGUGUUAGUAGUUAUUGGUUCAACUAUUUCUUCAAAAUACAUACCUGACAGAGAUGACGAUUCUUGAGACUCAUACUGCUGAAAAUUCAUUGGCUCCGUUGCAUAAUUAUAAUUGGAGUCAUCCCACCAUCCUUGAUCAUACCCGUUUGGAUUAGGGUCAUACCACGUUUGAGACCAGGGUGAAAAAUCUCCGUAAUUAUUGAAUGGGACACUCAGAUUAUCUUGAUAUUCGGGGCACAUACCUGUUGAAUAAUCCCUGGCAUAACAAAUUUUACAGGUUGCAGCAGCCAUUCUUUUUCUAAUAGAGUUUACUGCCUCUGCAUAUGCAAACUCAGGAAAAAAACAAAUCUCAUCGCCUUGCCCAGAAAUAAAAUCCAAUACACCACCAAAAUACGGAGUGUUAGAAGCCAUAAACUAUAUCAAAAAAAAAUAAGAGAAAUAAAAUAAAUAAAAAAAUGAAAACAAAAUGAACUCAAAAAGAAACAAAUUAAUCUGACACCAGUUCCCGGCAACGGUGCCAAAAAUUGACAGGUUGUCGAAGCCUGUGCAAUAAUAAAACCUGCUCAAACUAAAAUUAAUUUCUGUAAAUAGUGGUAAGCAGGGUCGAAUCCACAGGGACUGGGAGUAAUUGUUUCUUUUCAAGUUCACAGUGACAAGGGGGUGUUUUUGUGCAGAAGGUGACAAUCCAAGAAGUCCAACUAAAAUCUAAAAAACUACUAAAAACUAAAUAAAAAAAUUACUAAAAUCAAAUGAAUGAUAAUUAAGGAUCUAGCCAAGAAAUAACUUCAGUAAUGGUGCACCUAAUUGAUCAUCGAUAAGCAAAGGCAAUUCCAAUUAUUUACUAAUAAAUAGGUUAUAACUGCCAAACAAGCGAUGACAGUCAACCCCUCCUUACUGUGUCGAUGAUUAAGGUACGCCCGUUAAUCACUGCUCUAAUUGAGAAAUAAUCCUAGGUACGCCCAUAGAAUUUAAUUCCCCAAUUGCCUUACGUAUUAGAGGAGCCCUAUUCUAAUCAAAUAACACACUACCAGGGUUAUUUUAGAUUAGCCCGCGUAUUCCCCUGACACAAACCUAAUCAUGCCAGUUGCCACUAUUUUAGAGCAAUUAAACAAUUACGGAUUUAAUGCCCUAAUUGACAAUAGAUUAUCCAAUCAACUAAUUAUCUGGAUCCAAGACAAUCAAUUAAUUAAAUAACCAUAAGCAUAGCAACCAAGAAAUAUGCAAAUACCAAUAAAUAAAAGAAACAGAUAAAAUUAAAUCGAUCUCACAAUUUUAGACGACCCAAAGCAUCCGUUGUUCCUUGACUAGAGUGAGGAAAUUAGUUCAUAAUUGAUGAACAAAAUCCACACAAAAUUAAAACAAGAGUCGCGGCCAUCGUCUCCGAGAGUUAAGAAAAUUCAAUUCGUCCCAAUCGAUAAGAAAAGCAAACUACCAGAAGUGAUAGCUAAUUCCUAAUUCUCCCUGACAUGCGCAGGGUGCAAAGCUACUAAAGGACAAAAAAUACUGAAAAGAAAAGUCAAAGAGGAACAAAAAAGAUAGUGCUUGUUCUCUGCAAACUCUAUAUUUCCUAAGUGCUUAUUCCUACUGUGCGGCGUCCGCCGCACGAGAGGAAGCCGAAGACCUUCAGGUUUGCUUUCUUUUCCCCUUUUUCUAGUUGCUGUCUUCGGUCAAAAUUACCAAUAAGGUCUUGCAUUUUCUUGUUCCAAGAAUGCCCCUUGAUUGCCUGCUAUUUGAACUCUUUCCCGAUGACUAUCAAAUUGGCCUUGAUUGUGACAUUUUUAUUCUACUCCCGGAAAUAAAUGUAAAUUACAAAAAAUGAGUAGAAUCUAAUAAUUAAUUCACAUUGAUUUAAGUAAUAGGAGAAAUUAAUUAUAAAAUAAAUGAUAAAAUUGCAACCUAUCAAUUUACAAUGCUAACAUCCAGCAACUAGUUGAUGUUCCAGGACAUGAGUAUUUCGCCUACUUGGGGCAGAAAACUCAAAUGGAGGCUGCAAAUCAGGCAAAGAUUGAUGUUGCUGAAGCGAAGAUGAAAGGUGAAAUAGGAGCCAAGGAAAGGCAAGGACUGACGCUUCAAAAUGCUGCCAAAAUUGAUGCCGAGACAAAGAUAAUAUCUACGCAAAGGGAAGGUGAGGGGAGAAAGCAGGAGAUCAUGGUGAAGUCCCAAUUGAAGAUCUAUGAGAAUCAGAAGGAGGCUGAUGUUGCUGAGGCAAAUGCUCAGCUAGCAACCAAGAAGGCUGCGGCCUGCGUGGGCUCGUCAGGCAAAGUUGGCUGAGGUAGAGGCUGAAAAGAGUGUAGCCAUACGGGAGGCAGAGUUGCAGAAGGAAGUUGAGAGGAAGAAUGCAUUGGCCAAGACUGAGCAGCUUAAGGCCCAAUAUCUCAGCAAAGCGAGCGUGGACUAUGAUAUUAAGGUACUUCAAUUACUAUAGUUUCAUUCCCUGCAAUGACAUUCAUUCAAUCAUUAAGUCUAAACUUUUACUCGUUCCGUGCUGUUAAAUUUGGAAAUAAGUUAACAGGACAAGUCUUUGAGUACUUUCCAAAUCUUCUUCUAUUCUAAAGCGAAAUAACUGCAGCCCAUCAGUCGGAUUUCUGUCUUGCUUUUAACUCAAAACAGAUUCAAAAUGAAUUUCUCUUUUUGCUCAUAUGAAUGAAAAACUCUCCAUCCCUUGAACCUCAUUUAUUUCCUUACUCCCUUGAUAACGUCAAUCAUGAUUGCAAUCUUAUUCUUUGUCUCUAUCUCAUAAUGAUUGAUCCCAUGGAAUUUAGGUAAUUAAGGUACACAUUUUGCAAGCAUUACUGCAACAAUUAUCGUUUUGUACAUGUCCUUACCACCAGAUGAUCAUAUUUCAAAGUAAAUGGAGUCGAUUCCACUUUUUGAACCAUGUGAUGCUUUCAGAUCAUCUGAAGCUUUCCAGAUUUAACACUCCUAAUUUUUUUUGCAUAUGUCGUGUUGAUGUCUCUAUGUGGAUCAUUGAUUGCCAUUACCUAUAAAAAAAAUAUAGGUUCAAGAGGCAAAUUCAGAUCUCUACAUGAAACAAAAGGCAGCUGAAGCAGUCCUCUAUGAGAAAGAAAGAGCUGCUGAGGCUCAAAGAGUAGCAGCAGAAGCUCAACUUUAUGCAAGGCAACAAGCUGCAGAAGCUGAACUUUAUGCAAAAAGAAAAGAAGCUGAAGCAAUGGUGGCACAGGCAGAAGCACAAGGGGCUUAUAUCCGAACCCUGUUGACAUCACUUGGUGGAAACUACAAUGCUUUGAGAGAUUAUUUGAUGAUUGAUGGUGGUAUGUUCAAGGACAUUGCCAAAAUCAAUGCCGAAGCAAUCCGUGGACUGCAACCAAAGAUCAGCGUCUGGUCAAAUGGUGGAGAAGCCAUAGAUGGAGCAGGAACAGGAAAUGCAGCCAUGAAAGAGAUAGCAUCAGUUUACCGGGCAUUGCCACCCUUGCUUCAGACCGUGCAUGAACAAACUGGCAUGUCGCCUCCAGCUUGGAUUGGCAGUCUCCCCAGUUCUAGUGCCAGCCAGCCAGCAAACUAGUAAUAAAAACCAUAUCUAGUAUUAAGACUUCACCUACUAGUCUACUACAUUGCACUAGUCUAAGCUUGGUUUAUAUUUUCAGUAGACAUACUCUUAGCUCUUUUCUUUUUCUCCUAAGGUAGACUGCUCUUUGAUCUUGGCUUUUAUAAUAGCUUUUGUUUGUUGACAGUUAUGAUUAUAUCUUACUGCGUUACCUUUUGCUUGUUUUCAAAUCGCUCAUCCCUGUUCCCUAUUCAUGCAUGUUUGUCCAAGCAUAUUUACAAUUCUUCUGGAUAACCAUGAGUCCAUGAUUAUAUUGCUGAAUCUUUGUUCUCGUUUAGAUUAAAAGAAGUUAAAAUGAUUACAUUCUGUUUGAGGCUUUCAAUAGUCUAUGCAAAAAGUAUCUGGAACAUUAUUUCGUGAGGAUAUUAGAUCAAAGAGCAAGGAGGUAAAACCUCAGGUAUGGAGGCUGCAAAUUCAGCUGGUAAUAAUCAUUAGUUGAUGACUAAUUAUAUAUUCGAUGCUUGAUUUACAGGGAAACUAUAGAUUUCAGUUGUUUUCAAUGUCAUAUUGUGAAUGAGCGUUGUCAAAUUUGUUCUCCAUGGGAAUUUGGAUAAAAUUUUCAAGCUCUGUGAUUUGCAAGUUUUCGAAGACAGCCCAUUUGAACUACACAGGAACUAGAGUGGUGCAGUGCAACAAUGCUGGAGGAUGCUUUUGCAUGACAGGAUUUUUAGCUUACUGCUGUUGUUCCAUGAUGUCCGUUUUCCUCUUUAGUAGUUCUUGAAAAAGGUUUACAUCUCAAGUGAGCUUCAAUUUGGGAAAAUAAAAAGAAAGAAAAAUGAUUUUUCACAUAAUUCUCUUUAUGGUUUCAAAACUUACACAUGACAUGUCAAAGUAACUGAAAUGGUCCUCUACAAUAGAACCAAUUAAAAUGUCAAGAUUAUCCGUAUUUAGAAACUAAAAUGACUGAAAUUGCUAAGAUAUAAACACUUAAUAUGUGUGACAUUUUAGCCCCUUAUCGUUUUAGUAGUUUACCACAUAACUCCCUUAUGAUUUUCAAAAUCUAUGCAUAACUUCCAUGUGGUUAAUAAAUAAAUUUUAUCUUAAUAUAGGGGUAAUUUUGAUAUUUUAAUCGACUCCGUUAUGGAAUACAAAUUCUACUAUUUAAUACUUUAGUCUAAACUACGAUGAGAUUGAGUAUAAUUUUGAAACCAUUGAAAGGGUACAUAGAAAAAUACUAAACCACAAGGAAGUAAAUUGUAAUUUAUCCAAGAAAACAUGGUUGGUCUAUUGUAACGGGUUCGUGGUUAGCAUCACGGCAGUUGUUUAUUUGUUUUUUUUUUAAAUUACUUUUUUGUUUUUGGUAUAAGUAAGAGGAAUCGAGCCGUAAUCUUUCACUCAUGCUUUCUCCCAUCCAAUUAUCCAAUCCAUUCCUCCCGGGCUACCAUCAUGGCAUGCAACAUUAUGUAACACAAAGAAAAAGAGAUUAAAAAAAAAUGUUAAACAGAGGUGAUGUGAAUUUGAUAUUAACUCGUAAACUUAGAAAAAGCAUUGCUUAGGGUCCAUGUUUUAGAUAUAAUUCUGAUCUUUUUAACUUUUUGAAACACCCAUCUUUUCUACUGAUAUUUGUAAAACUCACAGCAGUUUUUAGAUAGUUUUUUCUACGUCUCUCAUUAUUUAUGCAUGGCAGGCGCAAUUAUUUGAAUAAUUAGCUUCUUAAGAAUAGCUAGUUAGAAUUAUCAUUAUUAUUAUUAUUAUUACUACUACUUGGCCACGUAAUUUAGACUUCAGAAACUCCUUGUAAAGUUUUUUUUUUUUUUUGACAAGUCCACUCUUUGUUUGAAAAGCUAUUUUUUAUAAAAUAAUUUUAUAUUUUUAUGAAUAUAUUUUUCAAUCACCUUUUUAUUUCACAUACAUCAAAUCAUUACAGUAAAUUUUUUUUUUUUUAACAAAAAUUUUGGAAACUAGCAAUCCAAAUGAGAUCUUACUUUUCGACCACACAAUGAUAAUUUUUAUGUUAUACACUUGAAUUGGAUGUUACGUGUUGAUCAUUCGUAUCCUUCAUUUGACUGCAUAUCAUACUUGUUUCGUAACACCACGAACGAGUAUGGACAAAAUUUUCUGACUUGCUGACUAUUGCUUUUUAAUUCAAAUAUCGUACUCAGUAUUGUCUGUUGAUACCAUUGCAUGUCCUAUUGUCAAACAACUCUAUCAUUAGCUAUACAUGCAGAAAUUACAUCACAUAUGUAAUUUAUUUAUAAAAUUCGUAUUGGUUCUACGUCCCUACUCUCUAGUGGUAAAGCUGCAGUAACAAUUUCAAAUGCUACCUAAAACUUUUGGUCCUAAAAUAUGCAAAGUAAACAAAUAUUACUAAUAUAUCAGACAGCCUCUUUCUCCUUGGAACAUUGGCAGCGGACAGUGAUAAAGUUAAACAUUGGAGGCAGCUUACUUAAAUCCAAUUUAAUUAAUAACUUAAUGAGGUGAUUAGUCUGAAUUUUUCAUACCAACUUUGAAAGAGACUAGUUGGUGUUCGGACUGUUAAAAGAACAGCACUAGAUUAGAUUUCUGAGUGUUAGAUUAUAAAAGGGUAAAUUUCUUGUUAUCUUCUGUGAUUUUACAUAACACUAGAUGACCCCUCUAAGAUUUUGAAAUAGUCACAUAAUUUCUUUGUGGUUUUAUAUAAAGUGAAAAAUGGAUAGAAUACACAAUCAGUUUUCGAUUUAUACCAAAUCCACGUAACCCCCUUAUAUUUUGUAUAAAUAUCAACUUUACUGAUGCCCUGUAAUUUUUGCAUUUAUCCACUUAAUCUCCUUAUACUUUUAUACAAGGUGGUUAAACCGUCGAUUGAUUUAGUAUUUACGAAAGGGCACUAUUGAUAUUUCAACCAACAACAUUUCAUAGGUUAUUUUUCGUCAAAUUUUCACUUUACAUAAAAUCAUAGGGAAGUGAAGUAGAUAUUUUGAAACGUUUGGGGGUCACGUGACAAUAGAUAAAAUCAGAUGACUAUUAGAAAUGACGAUUGAAGUGCUGAUUGCUUAUGGUUGUCCAAACAAAUGCAGAAUUUCAGAAGUUAUAUAAGUAAUAUGAUCAUGAUUUUAUGACACAGUGGGAUGGUGGGAGUAGUGAUAAAAAAAAAAAAAAGAAUGAUGAAAUGAAGUUUGCAGAUUUAUUUAAGGAUACCUCAGGGUUUUCAUUAAGUAUGAUAAAGAUAGAACUUUUAAAUUCAAUACAAGGUACAAAAUUAACUUUAUUUGAUUUUAGCCUAUACUUUACAACCUUACACAAUUAAAAGUCAAAAAAUUUGUGCGUGAAAAGAGAUUUGACAUGCAAGGAAAAAUCAUGAAAACAAAAGACAAGCUUGCAGGCAAACGAAAAUAAAAAGAAAUGAAACAUCAGAUCACAAAGUCUCAAAUUUAAAGAUCUAAAUAUUCGAGACUUGAUUAAAAGGUGUCCAACGAGUAUUACUUGGUAUAACUAAUCUAUGGCUAACUUAUCAUUUUAAUAUACUAUUUAUUUAUGUUUAGUUUUCCUUACAUUUAGAUAAUUACUAGAUUUAAUUUCAUAUUUUCCAAAUUUUAAUAUUUAAAACCUAACUUAAUGAAUAUUCAUUGAACACCCAGUUAAGCAAAUACAUUAAUAAUUACUGAAUUAAAUGGGAUUCCUCUCAAUAGUUUCAUGCUCCCCACAAAAUUAUGUUCUUGAUUGAAUUGUGUGUUUUCAUAGAAAAAUACUUUGGGUGUAUUUUUUAUUCACUUUUUUACUUCACACGUGUCACAUCGUUAUAAUAUAUUUUUCUAUAAAAACUUUAAAGAUUUACAAUCUAAACAAGGCCUAAGGUUGCCACGUGAAAACAUGAAAUGAUCUAACACCUUUUUGCAGUAAAAUAAAUCAUAGAGAUUUUUUGAAAGGCUAAUUACCAUGUAAUACAAAACUUGUAUGUCACCUUUACAUGGAACCAGACCAAAUACAUAGACAGCUCUUCUCUAUUGUCAUCUAUCAACAUUGUCUGGUUACAGAGCCAACACUAAUCCAUUCCCUCCUAUACCCCCCAAAAAAUGGGGAAUGGAAUUAGAAGUCCCAUCUCAUUUCUCAUCCUUCUUGCUUUACUAUUCCCCUUGACCCUUCAAAUCUCAGCCGUUAAUUACCCGAUCAACGUCUGGCCUAAACCGACAACCUUCUCAUGGCCCAAACCUCAAAUAGCCUUACUUUCUCCGAAGUUCGAAAUCCAUUUCCCUUCACACCCAUACCUCCAUCGCGCUGCCAAACGCUACCGUCAACUACUCAUUCAAGAACAAUACCACCCACUGGUAGCCCCGCCUCUCAAUCUGCCGGAGUCACCCGCACUCCAAUCGCUGAUCAUCACCGUGACUGACAAAUCCGCGCAGCUAACUCACGGCGUUGACGAGUCCUACACCCUCGUUAUUCCCUCACCAUCUCAAAGUACUGAGGCCGCCAUAUCGGCCCAAACAACAUGGGGAGCUAUGCGCGGGCUGGAAACACUUUCUCAGCUGGUGUAUGGAAAGCCAUCAAGAGUGGCUUGUGAUUUGUAUAUCUAUGAUGAACCCUUGUUUCCUCAUAGAGGAGUGAUGUUGGAUACCUCAAGAAACUUUUACUGGGUGGCUGAUUUGUUGAGGUUGAUCAAGGCCAUGAGUAUGAAUAAGCUGAAUGUUUUGCAUUGGCAUAUAACGGACUCGCAGUCGUUUCCCUUGGUGUUGCCUUCGGAGCCGGAGCUGGCCGAGAAAGGAGCCUAUGGGGAGGUGAUGAAGUACUCGCCGGAAGAUGUCAAAAAGGUGGUGGAAUUUGGUAUGGAAUAUGGGGUCAGAAUUGUUCCUGAGAUUGACAUGCCCGGUGAGUUGUCUACUUACAUACGUUUCUUUCCGAAUUAUGAUUUCAUUGUCCAAAUUAUUUGGUUGGUCCUCAAACUAUUUGGUCACUACGCUUUUAAUGCUCCAACUAUUAUUUGUAUAUUUUUAGCUCUCCAAACUCCUAAAAGCGUCCGUUCGAAUUGACCAUUUUUUUUAAAAUAAGUUUUUCAAAUAUAAUAUUAUAAUAAUAUAUAAUAAUUUAAAAAAUAUUUUAUCCAUACAAUAUUUAAAAAAUUUUUAUUGUAAAAAUUUUUCAUAUAUAUUAUUAUAGUAAAAUUGUUUAAAAAUACUCCUAAAAACAACUAAUUCAAACGAAGCAGGUUCUGACCUUAUGUCCAUUCAAGCUUUUAAAACCAACGGAAACUACACCGUGCACAAUAUACAAGCAAAAAUCUACUCAUAACUAGCAAGUUUCAUAGAAAUCUAAGUCCAGAUUUGGAAUCUACAUGAAAAGCAAAGUCUAAAAAUGUAAUUUAAUUUAAAUUUGAUAGCACUACAAUAAUGAUCAAUUACUGGUCAACAACAAUCAAUGGCCGUUUUAAUGUAUUUGGAGGAUUGAAGAUGGUGAAAAUUAUGUCACUUUGAGGAAGAUUUUAUCGGGAAUAAUGAUUGAAAUUGAUUGAUGGGCUAGAAAUAUAUGUUUUUAGACGUAAGAGGGCUAAAAAUAUACAAAUAAUAGUUAAAGGGCUGAAAGUGUACAAGAUCAAUAAUUUGAGGGCUAAAGGGACUUUUUGCCCUUUCAAAAUUGAAUAGAUGCUAUCUAAAUUGAAUAUACAAGUCGGAUGGAGUUGAGUAAAGUUGACUAUAAUUGCAUAUUAAUCUUUACUACACACUAGCAUAUACAUUAACAAAUAUAGAUACAUGUCACUUGAUAUCAAUUAGAGGUUGGAUUUUAGAUUUGCAUACUUCUACACCCGCUAAUAUAUAUAUCAUAAUUGCACUGUUGCACUUAAUUAUAAAUUUGGUUUGCUAUAUUGAUUACUUCCAUAAUUCUUUAACUCUUUUGAUCCAACGGUGGUACUAAGUUUCUUCUAGUUAGGUUCAUGGGUAUGGUGAGGUUGUUUGUUUUACACUGGCGUGGAUUGAAAGAAUGAAUAAGAAAGAGUGCUUGAUAUGUAUGUAAUAACCUAGAAUCUAUUAGGUUAAAAUUGGCUUUUGACUUAUAUAUUAGGCAUCUUUCAGUUACUCUCCUCCUGUCCUUCCUCUGCUAUUGUCUCCCUUAGGAUAGAAAUACCAUUUGUCACCAAUUGUAAAAUAUUUAAUAAAUUUACAAGAACCAAAGUCAAAACAACGUUCAAAUUGCAUUCUAUAUUUUCGGGCUAUAAAUCGGGCAUGAAUUUGAAGAAAAGCUUUAUAGCAACUCUCUACUCCCGUAUUAAAAGUUUUUUGCAGAUGCAUAUGGUUACUGAUAUAUUUUUAAGGGACAUUGGAUGCAACUUAGUUUUUAGGUUGUUAACUUGAUCAACUCCUUUGGCGAGAGUACCAUGCAAUGAAACCAGGGCAUGCUAGACUUACAUUUCGUUAGGUUCCUGAAUUAAGUUUCUUGAAGCCAAUCUCAAUAUGGUCGUUUCGAGAUUCAUUAUGCAGCAAAGACACUUGUCUUCCAUACAUGACUGCAGAUUAUGUAAUUUGCAGGACACACUGCCUCAUGGGCAGAAGCUCACCCUGACAUUGUAGCUUGUACAAACAUGUUCUGGUGGCCUGCUGGAGCAGAUUUGUCGAGCCGAAUAGCCCAUGAACCCGCAACCGGUCAACUGAAUCCCUUGGCCUCCAAUACCUACAAAGUAGUCCAAAAUAUCAUCAAAGAUGUAGCCACUAUGUUUCCAGAUUCAUUUUUUCAUGGAGGAGCUGAUGAGGUCACCACAAAUUGCUGGAAAUCUGACAAAUCCAUCCAAGCUUUCCUUGCCAAGAAUGGGACUCUGAGCCAGCUUCUAGAAAUGUUUAUUACUUCUACCUUGCCUUACGUCAUCUCCCAAAAUCGUACAGUCGUCUACUGGGAGGAUGUUCUAUUGGAUGCCAAUGUCAGCGUGGCUGCUUCACUACUUCCCCAGGAGAAUGUCAUUUUACAGACAUGGAACAAUGGGCCGAACAACACGAAAAAGCUUGCUCAAGCUGGUUAUCGAGUUAUCGUAUCAUCAGCCGAGUUUUACUACUUGGAUUGUGGGCACGGAGGGUGGGUUGGAAAUGACAGCCGGUAUAACCAGCCACCGGGUACUGAUCUUGGUAAGGGAGGUUCCUGGUGUGGGCCAUUUAAAACAUGGCAAACCAUCUAUAACUAUGAUAUCACGUAUGGACUAAAUGAGGAUGAGGCUAAGUUGGUCAUAGGAGGAGAAGUAGCAUUAUGGUCAGAACAAGCAGACCCAACAGUUAUGGACCCUAGAAUUUGGCCUAGAGCUUCAGCAAUGGCGGAAACAUUGUGGUCUGGGAACAGGGAUGAAACAGGAAUGAAGAGGUAUGCAGAAGCCACAGAUAGAUUGAAUGAAUGGAGGAACAGAAUGGUGACCAGAGGGAUUGGUGCUGAACCCAUUCAGCCUCUUUGGUGCAUUAGAAAUCCGGGCAUGUGCAACACAGUUCAGCCAUAUGUACCUAAUUGAAUAUUCUGUGUCCAAUAUUCAUUCUGGUUAUCCCCUGUUUCGUAUUACUCUGAGGCAGCUUUGCUAUAUGUUACUUUUGUAUUGCUUAUAUAUAUGCAGGUUUCUUGUUAUUUCAUAUUAAAAACAUUUGAACUUUUAAUAAAUAAGUUGGAUUUCUUUUGGUUGGGGGGGGGGGGGGGCUUUAAUGGUUUCAAAACAAUCACUCAAACUUAUUGAUAUGGAGAGAUGUAUUAUACAAGAUAACUAUUGUUUGGUAUGAAUUUCAGGUGCUAGUAAUUGCUCCUCAAGUGUUUUAUGCAUUGUAAAUCAGAUAUUUCCUUGCAUGUCUAUCUUGGAAAAUUAGUGAACUUUAUACGGCCCAUACCGAGACUCAUGGUUUAAAGUCUCGGCCGAGUCGUCUCGAGGCCGUCACUGGAACGGACCCCUCCGAUACGAUACCGAGACGAAAUGAUUCUAAGAUACUUGACUCGUGGAGAUUUCGGCUGAGUCAUCGAGAACUCGGCUGAGAAAUCUCAAAUACGGAUAGUCUUGGCCGAGUCGACCCGAGUCAUCCCAAUUCAACUGACAAAUUUAUAUUUUACAGAUUUUCUUUUGCUAAUUUUUUUUAGCAUAUGUUAAUAUUAUUCACAAUUUUUAGAAAUAUUAAAUCCUUCAAAAUUUGCAUAUCGUCAAAACCAUGACCGAUAUGCUGAAAUCGAUGUGAAAUAGUUUGGCCGCGACCACGACCGGGACCGCGACUUUGAACCAUGCCGAGACAGAUGAUGUUUACGUCCCUUUUGAUGAUAUCCAUUUAAGGCUGGGUCUCGUUGCAAUGAACUGAUUCAUAAAAUAAGCCCAGACAUACAGGCAAAAGAACUGAUUGGUGCAAGCAUUUCUGACUUGGAAAUCUGUUUGCUUAGACUCGUUGAUCAAACUUCAGCAUUAGACCCAAUUUUAAUUAAACGAUUGAAAUACUUUCUUUUUAUGCAUAACCUGCUUAUAAGACUAGUGAGAAAACUAAUGCCAAGAUUCCCAGUCACAGAGAUUAAAAGAAAAUAUGUAGACAUAAUGAGCCACUGAAGCAUAAAGUAAACUGGGGAAACCACUUACAACCCAAAAGCAUUUCAUAAUACGAAUUUAAUUUAGCUUUAAUCAGUGUAAGCGAUCUCUUGACAGAAUGUAAUUAGAAUUGCGGAAGCAAGGCUGAAAUUUUCCCCGAAACAUUUAGGUCUUGAAGUCGAAGAACCACUUUGCAAAGCAUAAUUUGCUAGGAAUAAAGUUUUCUUGCAAAUUUCCUGAUAGUAUAAAGCCUGUAAGUAGCUAUUUCUGGCAUACAGUUCCCAUGCCAUUACUGAAUGAUUAAACUAUACCAGAUUAUGAUAUGUAGUUGAGACAUCAGUGUCUGGGGGCUGGCCAAUAGUCGAUAUCUGAACUGGCUCCAAAUGGCAUCAUUGCAUAGAACCUUACCUUCCUAAUUACUUCUGCCAACUAGUCUUUGCCCAUGUGUUUAGGUUUUGUUUAAAUCUGAGCAGGACUGUUAGAUGUUUAAUGGUGAAAACCUUUCUUAAGGGACUUGAAUCCGAGUAACAGAAAAGAGUCUUUGGCACAUUCUGGUGCUUCUUGGAUGUGGCACAAACCCCUAUCUUUUGCUGGAUAAAUUAAGGUGAAGUAAGCAAGAGGGUAACCUCAAAGUUGGAGUGAUAUCCUAGUUUUUGACUCUUGCACUAAUAUUAACAUGGCAUACAGCUGCACAAACUCACUAAGCUUAUGCAUACCUGCUUUGCUUCAUCCAAUCCAGCGAAUUUUGACUUUUCAGCCCAUCAUUGUUGCCGGUUUCUUAUACUCAAUCACUUAAUCAUGCAUUGUCUACGAUAUAAAACUUUUACUUGUGCUAGUCAGCCUUCCAUAAAUGCAGUAUAAAAACCAGAACUAGUUGUAAACAACUCAAGUUAGUCUGAGUUUUGUGUAUUCUUGUAUUGAGAAGCAUAAUGAGGUCCUCUAGCCAAGCUAUAAUCUUCCUCAUGGCUGCCUUUUUGGUGCUGUUUCUCAUUGCACCAGCUUCAGAUGCUGCAGUUACAUGCGGCGAUGUAGCCAAGAAGAUUGCCCCUUGCGUUGACUACCUGAGGUCAGGCAGUGGGGCGCCACCUCCUCCUUGCUGUGGAGGAGUUAAAGCUCUAGCAGCUUCUGCAACAACUACACCAGAUAAACAGGCUGCUUGUGCUUGCCUUAAGACUCAAUCCAAGAAUCUGAACAUCAAACCUGAGCUAGCUCAGGCUCUUCCAGGAAAUUGCGGAGUCAGCUUGCCUUAUCCUAUCUCCCCGAAUUUCGAUUGUACCACGUAAUAACUCUUGCCUCUUGCUUAUGGGCGUAUUAUAUCAGCUUGUACUCUUGUUUCUAAUGUUUGUUGUUGUCCUUAAUUUGCAGGAUCCGCUGAUUCUGAAGCAGCUCCGCAGAGGAUAAAUGCUUCUCUUUUGUAUGAAGAAGCAAAGUACGAUGAUGCCGGUCUUAUUUACAUUACGAUGAUGUUGGUUCUCUUUCAUCUAGUCAUAUUAUGAAUUAUGCUGGACUUAUAUCCUUGCUGUCUUGUACUGUGAAAUAAAGCAUAUAUUGUGAGAAUUUGGUUUCUCAAAUCUCAAGUGCAUUACCUAAUUCCUGUAUCUCUUCUAAUUUCAGUUUUUCGUUUGUCAAUUCAUGGUAAAUUUUCGACCAAGUAGAUCACACUAAAACAAAAACGAAUCCUCAAAAACCAUAGAAGAAAUGGCGAACCUGUUCUCGCUACGAGCAGAAUGCAAACCGGCUUUUUGUGGCUCUGUUACCAUCACAUCUGCUCCAAAUCCCACAAUGAUAUGCUUAUUCAUCAUGUGAUCAUGCUUCGCAAUCGCAGGUCGUGUCGCGGCAUAUCGAUUGAAUAUCGGGUGAUACGCAUGUUAUAACACAUGAAAGUCUCCAAAAAUUUUUAAAAAAUUACUAAAAUUAGAAAAUACCAAAAAAGACACAAUUUAAAAAAAAUCUGACUAGACUCCGAGUUGACUCUGAUAUAUCGGCCGAUAGCAUACAUCACGGAUUCAAAUUAGCUAAUAUCAUCCGAGUCAAAGUAAGCCGUUGCGGAUAUGGUAAUAUUUGCGAUUCAGGGAUAUGUAUCAUACCGAUCCCCUCCGUUCCAGUUACAACUUGGCCGAUACGUAUUGGUAUCGGUUGGCCAAUAUGGCAAACCAUGCAUGUGAUGAUGUAUUGUGCAGGGCAGAAUUUUACAAUGAAAUCAAUAAAAAUGACAAAAUUUUGUCAGCUUCGCUAUUUAAAAUGGCAGUAAUAACUAGAAGCUGUGUCUGAUCUUUUGCUUACAGUGUCAAAUUGAUACAAGAAAAGACAAUCAAACCCUUCUGACUUAAAAACUCUGAUGGGCAAAGUGCUUCAACUGCUAUCAUUGAUUGAAAUCUAGUGUGAAUAUAGUAAUACAUCCACUUUCAAUUUGAUGUUUAUUACAAAACAUGAGCACUUUUGGAAUCUAAGAAUCAAUGUACAAGUGGACAAUCUUGCUUGAUUUUUUCUUAUAUAUUCAAGAAAAAAUUGUCCUGUAGCAUUAAUCAUAAUUUUAAGAGAGAUAGAAGGCUAUGAGAAUUGUCCUGGAGUAACGUGCUCUCGUGCUUAGGCCGAAUUUUGCAACGAGAUAAGCAUCAGGCACAUGACAGGCUUCCUGAUAGCUAAUCCCACAGCACCGCAUUGCCAUAGAUCACCUGCUUGCAGAAUGCAGAUCCUUAUGCAAAGAUCACAAACACGCUUCCAACUUUUCUCAAUUGCUGCCUGCCCCAACUCUAGCUCACUUACUAGAUGUUAACCAAGUUUGCUACUUUUUGACUUCCACCACAUCACAUGAGACAGAAUGAGAUGAGUUUUAAUCUCCUUUUCUGAAUUAUGCAAUUAAUUAAACAAUUGCUCCCCCUAUACAGAUCCUUGCAUUUCUUUCUAUAAAUAUCAAUUUGCCACCUUGAAUUCAAGCAAGACUUAAAACUUAUCCGGAUUUCAAAUAUUGAAAGUUUCGUAAUAUUGCUUUCUAUGUAUCUGCAGCAUGAAAUCCAAGGCCCCUUUUGUCGUGAUCACUCUCUUUGUGCUGAUUUUGCUGGUUGCACCUUCGGAUGCAGCAAUAUAUUGAAGAGCAUGAGCCCUUGUAUGACUCAUCUGAGGAGCAGCGGUGCCGGGGUGCCGCCAGCAGCGUGUUGUGCUGGACUAAAGAGUGUCGCGCAUCUUCAGCAAAAUCUGCUUCCGACAAAAUGGCAAUUUGUGGCUGCGUCAGGGCAGCUUUCCGGCAAACAAAAGUCACCGAUGCAACCGCAAAGGCUCUUCCUGGCCGGGGUGGAAUCACCCUUCCUUUCACAAUGUCCUCCAACAUCAAAUGCUCCUGAGCAUGUUACUUAAAAUCUUGUGGGAGCCAAACAAGGAGAAACUAGUGAACAACUCCUGUUUAUCUUCUCAACUAGUAAUACUAGACAUUUCUUAAAUUUCUUAAAGCUAUAAAGUGCCUACCAAAUAGUACAUGAUUCUGAGUGUUUUACUUAUUACAUGAUAUUUCCAUGGUAGCCUUGAAAGAUUUGUUGAUUCAAAACUUUCAGCUGAAAAAUCUAAAAAAAAAAAAUUGAGAAACAAGAAAACAUUUAAUAUUUGGGACAAAAUGAGUAUCUAUAAUCCACUUAGUACCAUUUCACUUUGCCAAUCUGUUUGGUAUAAGUAUGUAAGUACACACAUCUUCAAGAAAAUGUGGAUGACACUCUUAUUGACAAUUUGAGUACGUGAAUUAUACAAAACUAGACAUAUCUUUCAUCAAGUUUACACUCAAUUGUUUUUAUGAAAUUAUGUUUAUCUUUUCACGCAAGUUAAAAAAACAAAAAGAGUCAAAGGAAGUGUCAUUAACAGAUAAAGAAUGUGACAUGAACAUUUCUCAUAUCUGAAUCAGUUCUAACAUACUCUUUUGGCACUCUCUGUCACUUUUGCAGGACAAAAUGUGACUGGUUUAGUUUAAUUUGGAGCAUCAGAACACUCAAAAAGCAGCUUCAGUCAACGUUGUUACAUACUAGUGAUCAAUAAGCAUGGAUGUUUUGAUGGUUGCAUGUGUCUAUCUAUCCUUUUAGGCUUCUUGUACACGGUUUGUUACCAAUAGCAAUGAAUGGAUGAGUUGCUUGUUGGAGAGGAAUAAUCUUCUCUCCAGACCCUAACUUCUGAUAUAUAUAUAUAUAUAUAUAAGAACUUACUGCUUGAUACUACCACCGAUUAACCUGUAAAUAGUAGGAUGAAUUUUAAUUUUAAUUAACCUAUAGUAAGAAUAAACUCAUGUACGGUGAAAAAAAAAAUUAUACUCAUGACUUUGACCAUUAGAGUACCUAAACCUUUUGGCAUCUUAGUCUAUUAGGGGCAUGUUAUAAAAGAAAUUAAAGUGUGUUCGGAUAGGAGAUUCUUUGGGAUAAUUUUUUAAAAAAAUACUAUAAAAUUUUUUUGAUGUGACGUAUGUAAAAUAGAAAGGGUGCUAAAAAAUGGGUAUGCAAACAAAUAAAUUUGUGCAAAAAAAAGUCCAUCCAAACAGACCCACCAUAGUCUUCUUUCUAAAACCCCUCUUACCGAGCUUUCCUGAAAAAUACUCAUUUUAUUUUAUAUAAUAAUAUAUGUUAAAUGAGACCAAAAAGAUGAAAUGGGCAGAAAAUUGUGUAUAUCAAUGGAGGAAAUAACGAGGACAAUAAUUAUAUACAAUGACACUAUAGAACAAUGAAAGGGAUGUGGCGCAACUUGGUGGCGUGGCGCCUUUGUUUUGUAUUUGAAUGGAUUGAGAAAUAAGGGAGUAUAAGUGAGAGGUCUCGUGUUCGAAAUUUUUUAUUUGAACAAAAAAAUUUAAAAAAAAAAGGGCUUUGGACUCGUACCACAUCGAGGCUGAAUUUGUUUCAGAACAAUCCACAACAAGCGGUCAAGCCUGUCCGGUUCGGCCCAUAACAAGAAUCGAAACUCUGAAGAGAUUUAAGAUUUUGUUGAGUACACUAUUCGUUUGGGCCACGCUAAGCUUCAAUUUACCAUUUUAAGUAUUACGACCCAAAUACAGAUUUGUUCCCAAAAAAAAAAAAAAACCCCAAAUGUGCGCAAUAUCUAACUAAUCUUGGUUCAACCCCAGCUAAUUUUACAGAUUUCUCUUUUCGAGGCAAAUUUGAUUAUAAUGUUAAAAUCCUUGGGCAGAUUCGCUCCAUGCGUGAUAAUUAAUGGACUCAAAUGAUAUAGAUUUAAAUACGCAUAAGCACAAUGUGAUUUUUUUUUUUUUAUAAAAGUGAUUAAAUUAUGAUGUUUACGAUUUUUCCAAAAAAAAAAAAAUGAUGUUUACGAUGAAUCUAGUGAAAUUACACUUGCGAGCAAUGUAAUUACAAUUAAAAUUUGUGGAAGCUAAAUCAACCAUGAUGAAAUGAGAAAAAACUAUUUUACUUGUAGAAGUAAGUUUCCUUGUAUUUCUUUCUUUUCUUUUUGACUGAUAAAAUGAGGAUUUUUUUCAUUUCAUAUGUACCUUGUCCUUUUUUAAGUAAUAAUGGUCAUCGGAAUAUUUUGUGUGUACAAGUAGAGGUGUCAAAUCCUUCAGGACCACAUUAAAGAGAAGUGGCGUACAGGCUACUAUCCACCCGUGAACAAAAAUCAAAGCAUAUGCUAGAGCAUUUGCAAUUUUCUUUUUCCUAUCUUUUUUGAAGGAUCCAUAGCUAGUAGUAGUGUAGGGGUGGCAAUCGGGUCGGAUUCGGGUUUGCGAGUCUGUCGUCGGGUUGAGGCUUAAGCAUAACAAAAAAUCUGUUGACCCGAACCCGACCCGUCAAUCCGAAAUGGGUCAGGGUACAUGACACGAACCCGAAAAUUUCUGGUUGGCGGGUCGACCCGAAAUGACCUGAAACUUAAUUUAUUAAUUUAUCACUGUAAUUUCUAAUAAAAUCAAUUUUUCACAAAAUUAAUUACAUCAUCAAGUAAUAGAAAUUUAAAUAAAUAAUUUCAAACCAAAUCUAAAAUAAAUUAAACACCAUAAAAGUGUUUUAUCCCAAACCAAAUAUAAAAUAAAUUAAAACAGCAUAAAAGUAAAAAAUAACAUAAUAUAUUAUUUGUCCAAAUAUAAUAAUUUUAACUUCACACAAGUUAAAUAAAUUCAUUUAGGAUUAAGUAGUUAAUGCCUUUGGAAAAAAAAUGAUUUAGUUUAGUUAGAUAAAAUAAUUUUUAUGUUUAUUAAAUUAGUUUUAAUUCAUAAACGGGUCACAUCGGAUCAUAUCAGGUCACCACGGAUUGAUUCGAAAUUGACCUGUUUUCUUUUCGGGUUCAUCGGGUUCGACCCGAUUCUGACCCGAACUCUCGAAACCUCAAUCCAAACCCAUUAAUUUCGUGUUAGGUUCGUGUCGUGUUUUCGGGUCGUGUCAGGAAUUGCCACCCCUAACUAGUAGUAGUAGAGCAUUUGCUAAUCAGUAUUGGCAACAGAUUUGGAUAGUGAAAUAUUUGCAAAAAUUUAUUUACUCACACAAUCGACAUAUUUUCGAAUCAUCUUUUUAUCUCAUAUAAAAUACAUCAAAAAAUUGUUACAGCAUUUUUUUUUUCAAAAAAUUAUCCCAAAUAAUCUACUUUCAAAUAGUAUUUUAGACAGUACUGCUAUAGUUUUACCAAGCUCUGAUUUGCACAUCAUGCAAAUCUCGAAUUGCAGGAAUCUUGCCAUUGAAAAUCACUCACUCCAAAGACAGGAGCAAUUGCAAUUAUGAGAAUUUUACACUAAAAAGAGAUACAUGAAAAGGGCUCCUGUUUCUUGAUUUAAUCAAGAAACUUCACCACCUCCUUUUGGUCUCCAAACUUUGAGUGGAGAUCUCAAUUGAGGAGUCAAAACUUUCCAUCGACAGAAAAGAGGAAGACAAAGAUUCACAUGUUGCUAUAUGCUAAACUAACCUAUAAAGUGCUUGCUUCUAGUGAUAAGAAGACAAACAUGAAGUCUAAAAUU
rnacentral:lncRNA from 1 species